UACAGAGGUCUCAAGCGUUGUUCGGAUUCAUUGGGCGUAAAGGGUGCGUAGGCGGCGCGGUAAGUCGGGUGUGAAAUCUUGGAGCUUAACUCCGAAACUGCAUUCGAUACUGCCGUGCUUGAGGACUGGAGAGGAGACUGGAAUUUACGGUGUAGCGGUGAAAUGCGUAGAUAUCGUAAGGAAGACCAGUGGCGAAGGCGGGUCGCUGGGCAGUAACUGACGCUGAGGAGCGAAAGCGUGGGGGAGCGAACAGG
rnacentral:rRNA from 1 species